ACUGUUUUUCACUGCUGUAUCCUCAGUACACAGAAUGGUUUGUAACACGAGACAGACACCUCAGUAAAAGCCAGAUGAGGGCUAGUAUUAGUAAAACCUGUCAGACUGUUGCAUUUGAAAAACGAAACAAAAACGUUGGUUCCAGGGCACUAACCACCAUGAAAUACAGUAAGUGUACAUCUCGGUUAUAGUUUACUCCCUACCCACAGCCUUCCUCUCCCACAGCGGAGAAACAAUAGUGAAUUAGUUUCUUUCUCAGAGAGACUUGAGGUAUGUGAUGAAAGACAAGUCCAAGAAACAGUGAAGCCAGCUUUGCAGACAUCAGCCCUAGAACCAAUGGUAUUAUUUCCCAGUGCAAAUGAUAAUUACUCCGACCUACUCAUCAAGACAAGAAAAAGCAUCUCUGAUCAAUUUUCAAAAGAGGCUGGGUUGGUGUAAUUAUAGUUAAUAAUACCCAUCUACGGAGCUGUUGCCCCUGACACACACACCCUUGAGUUGUCAGCCUCAGACUUCCAUUUCUAGCACCUGUAAGCUGGUCAAGUUGUGUGCACUGUAAUGUGUCACCAUGAAACGAAAGAGAAGUACCAGGUGAGCUCUCUCUCUCUCUGUGUAUAUACGUGUGUGUGUGUGUGUGUGUGUGUGUGUGUGUGUGUGUGUGUGUGUGUACGCCUUGCCUGAAAAUGAUUUAAAGCUACUAACCGGGCCCCAUGGAAAUUCAGUCUCAUUGCAUAGGGCUCCAGGCAACUGAGUUACUGGACACUACACCAGGUCUUGGGUUUUUUGAGAUAAAAAAUCAGCAAAGUAUGUGUAAAGUAACAUUUCUUACAAAAAUAGAUUUCUCUCUUCUCUCAACAUGGCAUCAGUUUUUUCAAUAUAUUGGCAAAGUGGAUCCAUCCACGGUUCUGGGUCCUGGCUGUGCGUCCGAUCGCCUUUGUCAGCUGGGGGAAGACUCAGGGUGACUUGAGCCAGGAGGACCGCGGAGUGGACAGCCGGUACCGCGCGCUCCCCUUUCCCUUGUUCUAAACUGGGCUGGAGAAGUUCAUAGGAUUUGCUCCGUCUGUACCGCGUGCGCUGUGAGCGUUUUCAUCAGGGCAGCAGCAGACGCGAAGGAGCGCGCUGGCGCCCUCUGGCGGCGAUCCUAGGGUGCGUCCGCGCCGUGCCUACCCCCCGGCCUCCGGGAGCCUCGAGCCCCAGCGCGACUGUGAUUCUGCCAAUUACAGCGAUCAUCAUAGCGAAAUGAAAAUGCUCCGAUUAUUUGUUUAUAAAUAAAACCGUUCCUCCUGGAAAAUGUGCCAGGAUGACAUUUUGUG
rnacentral:lncRNA from 10 species